rnacentral:misc_RNA from 1 species
UAGGUUAGUUGACUCUCUGCCCGUUCUCUGCUCUAGGCUGGGAGAUCGUGUCGUGAGAGCCCGGGUGAGAAGUCCGGCUAAGCGAGGUGCGGCGAGGCAGAGGACAGGGUAGAGAGAAAAUACCAUGACGAAUCGUUGGUCGUCCUCUUUGGUUUGAUCCCUAAAUAAAAAUCGAAAAAAUAAAAAUCAACAUACUAGAAUUCGCGUCAGAUCCGUGCGCGCACGUUUUUCGAUCGCCGUGUGGCCACAUAAAAUUAAGCAACUGUUCAUUGUCAUUCUGGGUGGAAAAGAAGAGGACAGUGCGCACCGCAAAUCAGCAACAUCCCUAUCUACCUGAAUUCAUUUUCCAGAAUACAAUGGCGACCACACAGCAACUGAACAGAAGUAGAACACUAAGAAAACUUGAGAAGCCCAGACCUCUAAAGCUUACGCAGCAUCGCCACACGACUGUCGAUGGGCGGAUCACGACUGUUGAGGAGAUAGUUUCCUUGAUUGACAAUGUUGCGAUACAUCUAUCGAAUGGCUACUUCGACAGAACUCUGCAGAUGAACGUCAUCACAAUGUGCAAUCACGUCAAGCUUCAUGCCCACCAAUUGGAAGCUAUUUACAAGGAUCAACUUGACAGAGCUUUCGUUGCUAUCAGAAACGGUAGUCAAGAUGAAAGGCUUGACGUCACGACUAGAGUUCACUUAUUGGAGCUGAUUGAACUCAGAGCGAAACAAUGGCGUCAUACAGACGCGAUGGAUUCCUAUUAUUGCCAUAAACUUUCCCACCUCGACAUUCAAGGAGAUGUGCCGCUGACCCCAGACACGCCAACAAACUUGCUGAUUUCUAACUUGAUGCCAACGGCAUCGCCGACCGCUCCCCCAAUCCUCGGACCUGGCGAAGUAAUAAAGAACAGUGGUAAAUUUUCAAAACCGACUCGUAUAUCAGGAAAAAAUUACUGCAAGGAUGAAGUUGUGAUACGCAACAGCGACUCUGGGAAAGUGAUGGGAAUAAAGGGGAGACGAGUUCACAUGAUUGAGGAGCUCAGCGAGACAAUCAUCUCCUUCCAGCGAGUGAACCCUGGAGCCAAAGAACGACUUGUCCAAAUAACGGGAACCUCCGAGGACAAGAUAAACUACGCUAAGGACCUUAUAAAAGAUACAAUACAGCGAAACGCAUCCCCGGUGAGGCUGGAGCAGGGCGGAAGCGACAAGAGUGGAAUAGGAGGCUCCAGCUCUUCGCUGAACAGCAGCGCAUCAGACGAGAGCAACAGGCUUCAGCAACAGCAGCAGCAAGCCUCCCGUUUCCGCUCCACCCUACUCCACAGUUUUUCCACCAACGACGCCAGCAUUGGCGAGUACAAAUAUACAGUCACAGUUGACAACCAUUCCCUCAAGAUCACUGGAUCCAAUCUGGAUCUCGUUAAGACAGCUAAACUGGUACUUGAGGAAUAUUUUUCUGGUGAUUCUGAACACUUUACCAGUGGAGUUGAGUACUUCAGUUUCGAGGAGGAACCGGCUUACGCUCCUGUUACUCCCACGACUCCGCACACCCCGAUUACUCCAGGCGGAUUGAACGCCGUCGGUCGUAAACUAAGCCUAGACAGCGCAGCUACUUCAGAAAGCGAGGAAACAUACAAACCUCGUCCCAAUUCCCAGCUCAGUCCCGCUGCUGCAGCCGAGAGCAGAGAGCUCACGUACGAGUUUCUGCUGCAGUGCUCCGCAGGCCCGUACGCAAAACGAGCCCCGGCCGAUUGGGCUAGAAUCCAAAAGGACUGUCCGAGCAUUGUUAGAAAGGUACAGCAACAACAACAACAACAACAUCAACAGCAACAACAAGAACAACGUGACAACAACUACGACAAUCACUAUUCGUUGUCAAACUGCUCAAUAAUCGCACCGUAUUCUGACGCUAACAAUUGCUAUAACAAUCAAAACGUAGCUUAUGACUUCGACAAUAAUCAACAGAACAACUGCAGAUGGUUUGAAAAUCGCAAUUCUCACUCUGCCACGAUUGCCGUUCGUCAGUACUGAAUUAAAAUACGCGGGGCUCUGGUUCGGUAGUGCAGAAGGAAUAACAAAUCACUAACAUAGCUCGAUAUUAACCAUUAACAAUUAUCCUAACAAUGUGAACAUGUUUUUCUAAUUUUAAGAAUUUUCUUCCCACAGCACUUUGCUCGGAGAUUGAAGGUAACGUGUUUUUUCUUUGGCAAUGAAAUCAGGCCUUUGUCUUUGAUUACUUAGCCAUGUAUCGAGUUCGCGAUAGUUUCUUUCAUUCUCUGUAAUUCGGUAUGUCAAUAAGUUAAAUCAAGAUUCAAAAUAAAGUUCAAAGUUUUAGUUUCAUUUUGAGAUUUGGAAGAAAACUGGCGUAUUCCGUUUUUGACUUAUGAGAUGUUCCAAAUACGUUUCUAUGAACUCGUGUUUAGAUCUUUUUUUAACUACUACUCGGAAAUCGAUUAGUUAAGGAUUUUAAACGAAGUCAUAAAUAAACAGUAAAGUCUUGAAUAUCGUUUUGAGCUUCGUUCAAAAUUUUUUGCACAUUUGGAUUCCAGUUUAUGGUCUAUCAGAAAGAUGAAAUACUUGUUCCAAAAAUUUUGCGCUUAUAAACCCCUAAUUUCAUUUCCGAUGAUUUCUUUUUUUCUUUUCAAUUGUUAACAUGUUCAAUUGUUACUGGCUGAAAUUAUCUCAAGCUCGUUUGAAAAAUGCAAUACUUGUACAUCAUUUCUAGCGCGACAAUCAAUCAGAGGGGAGAAAAAAGACGAAAAAGUAUCCUAUGAGAAGAUUAUAAAAAUGAUCUGUGCUUAUUUAGAGGAUUUAUUAUUAACGAAAACCGAUAAAAAUUGAGAGAAGGAAAAUCGUCAAAAAGAAAAAAAAACUAAGGCAUACAAGAGUAUUACAUAUAUUACGGUGUAUUGUGUAUUGGAAUCGCAUUAAUUGCAUUUCAUAUAAUUCCUCGGGUUCAUUAUUAUUAUCAUAAAAAAGAGAAAAAAAACGAACUAUUACACGAUAUUAUCGAACAGAGUAUAUUGUUAUUAUUAUUCUUAUUAUUAAUGUAUAAAAUGCGUAAAAGCUUAACUUUCUUCGCCGCAUUUAACAGUAUAAAAUUACAAUGCCAAGAUCAAGUUAACCAAAGAUCGUUACCAUUUUCGUAUUCAUACAUCACAUUGGUGAAAAGAAGGUUUAAAAGUCUUCGUAAAUAUCGUGAUUCAAGAAAUGAAAUUAAUAAUGGAAUACUUAUUUAACCGAUAAACAGAUUCGAGUUAUUUAUUGUAAUUUCGAUAGAUUUUAUCUUGAAAUGCGGUAUAAACGCGAGAAACAGGAAAGGAAACAAAAAUCGAGCUUGACGAAAACUGUCAGAAAUUUAAUUUCCCUUCUUUUUUUUUCAAUUCAAUAUUCCAUGGCAGUUUUAGGGUUUUGAAUAUAUACCUAAUGGUCGAUCUGAUAGUAUUACCGUAAUUAAAAUAUAUUUUACACCGUGCUUUCUUUCAUUCUUUUCUUGUGAUUACGGAAAAUUGAUAUUUAGCGUUACUCGUUUAACAGAUUCCAAUGAUUCUGUGAUUAAGGGGGUGCCCUCGUCGAUUUCGACAUUGGAGUAUAUAUCUCCAAAUAUCGUAUGCCCACGUAUUUAAAACGCGAAAAAAGGACCCAUUAUUAACAGCCUCAUUCUAUGCGCAAUUCUGAACAAAAACAUUUCAAUACAUUUUCAUUUUACACAGUAACAAAGAAAUGGCGUGAAUUCUACGAAUUUACUGCGAUUUCUUAGAAAUGCCAUUUCUUUAUUAUCUCCGACAAACGAAAAUGUGUUGGAUCGUUUUUUUUUUUUAUUCAGAAUCGUGCAUAGAAUGGGGCAGUCAAGCUGUUUUUCGCGUUUGAGACACGUGGACUUUGAUAUUUGGAGAUAUAUAAAUCAACGUCGAAAACGACCAGGGCAUCUCCUUGAUAAUUAUUCUUAGCAGUGUUCAUAAUUAUGAACAGGUAAAAAACCAAAAAGAUAUAAACAAAUUCAGUAUUUUCUUUCGAGUACAAUAUUAUUAACAAUAAUAAUAGCAGCGUUGUUAUUAUUUUUUUCAUUAUUAUUAGUAUAUAAAAUUUAUUUUCGUAGAGAUUGAAGUUUAUCAUUAUUAUUAUUAUUAUUAAAAAUGUUAUUAAAGUUUAUGAUGUUGACACAUGCAAUUAUUCCAUGCUUAUAUAUUGUGUCGCAUAGGCGCAUGUAUAUUAUUCUAUAAUGAAAAGAAUUUGACAAAGAAAAGGGCGAAAGCUAUGCAAAGCGGAACCAAUUAAGAAAAAGAAUUUGGUUCCAGUUGCCAUUAUUACUCAUUAUUAUUAUUAUUAUUUGUUACCAUUAGUAUUGAAAAGCAUUGUCGUUAUUUACUUCAGUCAGUUCCAGUUCCUAUGAAUAUUUUUAUCUCGUGUUUUAUUUGAAUUUUCUGUGUAACUUUGUUAUUAUACAAAAAAAAAACAUAUAUAUAUAUAUAUAUAUAUAUAUGUGUGUAUUUGUUUAAAUUUACAAAUUUGUUGUGUAUUGAAUUAGCAAUAUAUAUACAAAUAACUUUGCUGCUAUAUACUUAACGCUAAUUAGUAGUUAACUCUCGUACGAAAGAAAGCUAUGAUUAAAUAGGUAGUUAUUCUUAAAACCAAUACCAAAACCAAAGAAGAUGUGAGAGAGAAGGAAAAAUUAUCAAUACCAAAAUACAAACGGAGAAAACAAAAGAAAAUCGUACACAACAUUAUCGUUAAAUUAAUAACGCUUACCAAGCGAUUAUUAUUAUAAUAUUAAAGAUAAUAGUCGUUUGUUACUAUUGUGGAAUAGAAAAACAAACAAAAAAAACUUACUAAUAAAUAAAAUUCUUGUCUUCUAACAGCUUUCGAUAUUCAUCGCCAAAUGCAAUGCUACCAUAAUAAUAAUACUUCACAUUUAUUAACGAUGAUGUCAUUAUUCAGCGUACUAAUUGUGAGUGAUGCAUCUUACGGUAAAAAGUGGGAAAAUAUGCGAGAACUAAAUUUUUAAUUGAAAGAUUUUCUAUAAAACGAUUUCAUUACACGUACAUAAUGAAAUCAUACAAAAUUUAUCAAAGAUUUUCAGACAGUCGACGAAAUUUUGUAUUUAUUGAAAUAAUUUUUAUAGAUACAGUCAUUAAGUUCUGAAGAUAUUCACAAAUUUCUCGAGAUCUUGUGUAAUUUCAACGAGUUACAGAGAAACUCAUCAAACUUUGUCGAAUAAUGUUUAAUACAUACAUAUAUACAUGUAUAUGCAACCGGAAAAUUUGCAUAAAUUUCCGUGAAUAUUGAUUCCAAAUUAACAAUUUCGCAACGCAUACAUUCCCGUUUACAUAUCCACAUACAUAUACCUGUACGGAUAAAUUUAUAACAUACCUAUAUGUACAUACAUAUUCACUUGUGAAUAUUAAUACAUUAAAUAAUCUGCACAGCAUUUUGUGACCAGGCGAACUAUCACUAUAUACUCAAAUUUUUUAUGGCAUGCUGCUUCUUCCUCCAUGUAACCAAUCCUCAGUGAAGGCUCCGAUCAGCUUUUUUGAACCGGAGGCAUACAAGGUGCGAGUCGCAGCUGCAGGUCUUGUUACCGUCGUACCUGCCGGUGACACAGAAAAUGAAGCAGAGUGAAUUUAACGGUGAAAAAUCAAUAUAUAUAUAUAUAUAUAUAUAUAUAUAUAUAUAUAUAUAUAAAUUUAAUAACUUCUCUAAUCCCUAAUUAGAUCUACUAUUAACAGUAUAUAGAAUAAAUUUAUCGUUAUUAUUACAUUGUGUAACAUAAUAACGCUUUUGCCUCAGGACUGUACAACUUUCUUUUUUAUAAUCGAAAGGAAACUUUUUGCUUUAGAAAACGAUGAUAAAGUAGAUUUGAGAAUAUCUGAAACAACAAGCUCGAUUCAAUCAAAUUAUGGUUCAUCAAAUAAUCGAAAUUCCAGAAAUUAAGGAAUUAUUUAGGUUUUUUGUACGUGAAUUUCGCGAUCGAUUUCGUUACUCUGUUUUGAAAAUUGGUUUUUAAUGCUAGAAGGUAGAAGCAUCAGAGAAUUUCUAAAAGUAUUCAUGGAGUCAAUCCCGUUCACUUUAUUUUUCUAAUUACUUUCGUCUUUUCAGUUUAUUCUCACCCUUUUAUUCUCCAACUAUAGCAGAAAUCUGAUUAUCAAAUCGAUGUAACAUUCAUCGCGACCAGCGCCUUUUACACAUGUUACAAGCCUAAUUAUCAAGUGUUGAGAGUACUUAGUUUUUCAUUUUAUUCAAUGUCGCGCUUUUGGACAUUUGUCUUCUUUGUUUCGUCCGCCUAUUUGUAAAGACAAGUGUGAAAAAUUAGCGGUAGGCGUGAAAAUCCUACACACUAUAUCAGAGAAGAAAAAACAAAAAUAAACACGAGUAUUCUAAAGAUAGCUAAACUGUAUUCAUCAUAUGUAUUGGUUACAUAUAUAUUUUUUUUGUUCUUUGAGCGACUCUUGAUUGAAAUUAGUUGAUUGAAGAGCAAGGGUGUCACUAUUUUAAACUUGUACUAUAUAUUUUUUCUCGCUUCCCGAAUUUUGCUAUCAAUUAUUAAUGUCGUGAGAAAAUUUUUCUAUUCACUUUACUUUAUUUCACUUAUUUAAUUUAUUUAUUUAUUUAUUUAUUCAUUUAUUUAUUUAUUUAUCAACCAAACACACGGUUGUUCUAUCCUAUUUGUCAAAUUAAUUUUUUCUUGUUUUUUUUUUUCUUUUACUCCUGGCGUUGAGAAAAUUAUUUAUUGCAAAAGAGAAAAAGAUAGCGUAGGAAAAAAAAUGGUUAUUAGUUAUUUAUAUUAUGUACUAUGCGUACAGUUUUAUUAGGAAUCUCUCUUUGUCACAUUCGUCCAAAAUAAGAAUAAUAACAAAAAAAAUUAUAUUUUUGUCUGUAAAAUAGUGGCAUCCUAGUAGAUUAUUUAUGAAAAUGUUAUCGCUAACUUAGAAAAAACGCAGCUCUAAUACUUAAUUAAAAUAAUACAGUCCUGAAGGCGUAAAACUGAGGAGCCAAGUUACGAAAAAAAAUUUUACUUCAUCGAACAGCAUUAAAUUUUUUAGCUACUUUGUUUCAACUAUUUGAAAAACAAACGAAAUAGAAACAAAAAGGACGUUCUUCUCUAUUUCUUGUUAUUGUUACGCAAUUUUCAGACAAUGAUCAAAUUCUCAAGAAUAUUAAAAAUUUUACACGGUGCUCUUCAGAUUUUGUUUUACGCGUAUUUUAUAUUCUUGGCGACGAAAGAGAAUCCUGAUAAGUCCUUUAAGGAUUGAACCGACGAUGAUCAGUGAUUAAGUAUAGUCUAGUCUAAAUACUAAUAAUGAGAAUGUCGAUGAAAGCGAAAGAGAGAGGGAGAGAGAGAUAGAAGUAAAAAGCAACGUUGAAAAAAAUAAACGAAAAAAAAUUAAUAUGCAUGUUGCAUUACAUUUCAAUUGUUGAAAUAUCGUUCGAGUAUAAACGUAGAUGACGGACAAGUAAAUCGACUCUAACAACAAAACUACAAAAAAUAACAAAAAAAACUACAAACGAAUCUAAUACCAAAAAAAAAAAGAUUUAUAAAGUGAUUUUAUAUUUUUUACUUUCUAAGCGAACUUGUGAGAUAGAGACUGACAGAGAUAUUGAGAGAUUGGAAGUGAAAGAGUAAAAGAAAUGAGUUUACAUAACACGAGCAUGUUUUACGCCUUUUUUCAUCCGUGUUUUCCGUAAGUGAAUUACCUGUUUUUAUGACGAUAGCGUGAAUCUGCGAAUGCGCAUGCGCGGAGUACAGAAAAGACCACUUUAACUCCUUACUGCUCGCAUGCGCUGUGGUAAACAAAUCUGAUACUACGCGAUCCUAACCUCAAUUUCGUGCUUCGUGAAAAAACGCAUAACAUACUCUUGUUAUAUAAAGAAUAGUGUGCAACAAGGAGGCAUCGGUUUUUUGCCUCUCGUAUUAGCAGUAGUCGCCUUCGGCUCGUGUGUUGCGUGCCCACCUACGACUCAUAUUGCAAGCUUAUGCUCGGCCCGAAAAGACCGAGUUUGCCCCUUUGUUACACAAUAUACUGUUUCAGUAUCGGGGCGCUCCCAGAAAUAAAACUCGAGGCGAAUUUUUGUUCUAGUGUUUGUCUUUAUCAAUAAUCACUGAAAUUAAUGCUAUAACUGUGCUUCAAAGAAAAAAAUUAAAGAAAAAAAAAAAUGUUUUUUUAGUAGGUAAAAAAUUUUGUUUGCUUAUGGUGUAAGGACUUUUCCCUUCGCUUUGUUUAAUUUUUUUUUUUUUUUUCGAAGGGGCGAGAAUUGAAGUAACGAUAUUUUUAUUUACGAUAUGUAGUUUAAUUUUGCACACUGCGCAUUCGCUUUAUAAUUUGGUUCCUGUUAUUAUCUUUUCACUAAUUUUAUUUGUUUAAUUUAUUCACUCAUUAUUCUUUUUCUUGGCAAUAUCUAGUGAAUCACCUAUAACAUUAAAUAAUUUCUUCCAAGAUUUCUAAUUAUAAAUUAUAUUAUGUGAUCUGUGUUUUUAACCGGCAGGUUGUUAUAAAUAAAUAAAUGAUAAUUUAGAGAAAAGUUGGUUAGGUAUAUAAAUAAACAAAUCAAUAUAUUCAAGUAUUUAGAUUUGUUUUCCCUUUUUAUUUUCUUCGCUCAUCGGGGGAUGCGAAUGUAUAGAUUAUUAAUAUUUAUAUAUGACAUACAAAAACUCAAACUCGAAAUACAAAACGACUACGAAAACGAUAAGCCUGCAAUCUCUCCACGAUCUGUUAAAUUGUUUUUAGAAGGUUCGAAAUAUAUCAGAUAUUAUUUUUUUUAAUAAUAAUAAUAAUAAUUGUAAAUUACGAAUCGCUUUAAUUGCGUACGUGAAAAAUAUAUUUGACUAAUUAAAUAAUUUAUUGCCUUGAUAUAAUAUACAAGUAUAUAUGAUAUUAUAAAUAAUAGUCACUACUAACGAAAGAAAUACACAUGCAAUAAUGAAUAACAAUAAAUUUCAUAUGUAAUAGAAUUUAUUAUAUUAUGUACAUAGGUAUAUUUAUUGUGACUGCAACAGUAUACAUGUAAUUUUUUUUUUCAUUUUUAUUUUACCCUCAAUAAAUUUUAAACAUGCUCAACACGAUUUUACGUGUAAUUUUUCCGAUUGUUUUCGUUCUGUGCUCAGAUUGUUCAACAAUUAUUUCCAUCAACAAUUGUUUCUUUUUUCAUGCGAAGUUGCAGCGCACUUAUUUUGGUAUUGUACUUAAAUGUUCGUUCUUCAAAAUAUGGCUGUAUAAAAUGCGAUUUAGGUAAUUAUCGGAGAUGAAGAAAGGGGAAAAAAAUUCUGAACACAUGAAGAUAAUUAUUAUCGUGUAUUAUUUUAUAAAAUUUGUAAGUAAUUAACAAUAUUACAUGUGUUUAUAUUGUAUAUGCACAGGUAAUGGUAAUAGUACUUAACUUACUUAUUAACUUAUCUAUCAUAGUCGUGAAAAAUACUGUCGUUAUUCAAAUUGUACGGCGUGAUUAGGUAAAACACACAUCGUGAAAAAUACAACAAACAAAUGAAGCGAAUGCUAUUUGAAAUUUUUGCGAGUU